rnacentral:rRNA from 1 species
GACGAACGCUGGCGGCGUGCUUAACACAUGCAAGUCGAACGGAAAGGCCCUGCUUUUGUGGGGUGCUCGAGUGGCGAACGGGUGAGUAACACGUGAGUAACCUGCCCUUGACUUUGGGAUAACUUCAGGAAACUGGGGCUAAUAACGGAUAGGAGCUCCUGCUGCAUGGUGGGGGUUGGAAAGUUUCGGCGGUUGGGGAUGGACUCGCGGCUUAUCAGCUUGUUGGUGGGGUAGUGGCUUACCAAGGCUUUGACGGGUAGCCGGCCUGAGAGGGUGACCGGCCACAUUGGGACUGAGAUACGGCCCAGACUCCUACGGGAGGCAGCAGUGGGGAAUAUUGCACAAUGGGCGGAAGCCUGAUGCAGCACCGCCGCGUGCGGGAUGACGGCCUUCGGGUUGUAACCCGCUUUCGCCUGUGACGAAGCGUGAGUGACGGUAAUGGGUAAAGAAGCACCGGCUAACUACGUG